rnacentral:rRNA from 1 species
UGUAUGGAGAGUCUGAUGGAGCAUGCCGCGUGAGCGAAGAAGGUUUUCGGAUCGUAAAGCUCUGUUGUAAGGGAAGAACACGUACGGGAGUAACUGCCCGUGCCAUGACGGUACCUUAUUAGAAAGCCACGGCUAACUACGUGCCAGCAGCCGCGGUAAU